rnacentral:rRNA from 1 species
CCUACGGGUGGCAGCAGUGGGGAAUCUUGCGCAAUGCGCGAAAGCGUGACGCAGCAACGCCGCGUGGGGGAAGACGGCCUUCGGGUUGUAAACCCCUUUCAGGAGGGACGAAGCUUCGGCCGCGAAUAGCGGUCCGGAGUGACGGUACCUCCACAAGAAGCCCCGGCUAACUACGUGCCAGCAGCCGCGGUAAUACGUAGGGGGCCAGCGUUGUCCGGAAUCAUUGGGCGUAAAGAGCGCGUAGGCGGCCAGAUAAGUCCGGUGUGAAAGUCAAAGGCUCAACCUUUGAAUGCCGCUGGAAACUGUCUGGCUAGAGUCCGGAAGGGGCGAGUGGAAUUCCUGGUGUAGCGGUGAAAUGCGCAGAUAUCAGGAGGAACACCAAUGGCGAAGGCAGCUCGCUGGAACGGUACUGACGCUGUGGCGCGAAAGCGUGGGGAGCG